rnacentral:tRNA from 1 species
GGCCCUUUAGCUCAGUUGGUUAGAGCAGGCGACUCAUAAUCGCUUGGUCACUGGUUCAAAUCCAGUAAGGGCCA